CUUAACCACUCGGCCACGACUACGCAUGCUGCAACCUCUCCUCCCGCCGCCUCAUGACUGCAUGCCGAAAAAAAGCAUGGUUUGGUUCUUCGGUCCGUCUUCCUGUCGGGGCUCAGUGGAAGGUUUAAAAUAGAGGUUAGGAACAGUUGUGGAGAGCGGCCUCAGUCCCCUCAAAACCAGGAAUAGUCCCCAGCUGGCAUCCCCAGCAGCGCCUGGGAAAUUGGGGCAGGCUUUUUGAGGAAAGUCCCAUGAAGGUGGCUCUCGCCUGUCGCCCUGAUAAUAAAUCCAGGCAGACGAGGGAGAUGUCACCAGUCUUCCAAAGCCAGCUGCACCUUCGCUCUCAUCAGGGACACCCGAGGUCAGCUGAGACGGAAAGCACAGUGCUUUACCCUCCCGUUGCCAAGAUGGCUCUAAGUUUCUCAGCCUAUGAUGUGGUGGGGUCUGAUGUCCUUAAGAGCUCCAAGCAACCCCUCUCGGUUACAAGUUUCAGAUUCCAGAUUACAUCUUCUUCCUGGCCCUGCAUCCAAGACUUUCAUGGAAAGUGACUUCAUGGUACUGAGGACCAGGCAAAUUUGAGGAGAAAACAGGUGUGUUCAAGGAAUUGGCAAUGAUUUGUGGUACACGCUACAGAUGAGUUGGAAAGGAUCUUUUCAAAGAGGGGGCCCAUGCAAUAUUCAAACAACAGCCAAUUGGACAUGCUCUGCAGGAAUAUUUUAGCACCCAAAAACCAGACCUGGCGGCAGCUAUAACUUAGGAAC